rnacentral:rRNA from 1 species
UACGGAGGGUGCAAGCGUUAUCCGGAUUUACUGGGUUUAAAGGGUGCGUAGGUGGAUAAUUAAGUCAGUGGUGAAAUCUUCAGGCUUAACCUGGAAACUGCCAUUGAUACUAUUUAUCUUGAAUACUUUGGAGGUAAGCGGAAUAUGUCAUGUAGCGGUGAAAUGCUUAGGUAUGACAUAGAACACCAAUUGCGAAGGCAGCUUACUACACAGUAAUUGACACUGAGGCACGAAAGCGUGGGGAUCAAACAGG